AUGAUUUAUGCUAUACAACGUUUGACAUGUUUGAACGAACGUAAAUAUAUUUUUUCCCCUCGUUCAUGACGAGAAGUCCGGCUGGCUUAGAUCAUGUGCUAACAAGACGGAGAUUUUUGGACAUAAAUGAUGAGCUUUUUUGAACAAAACUACAUUCGUUAUGGACCUGUGAUACCUGGAAGUGACAUCUGAUGAAGAGAAUCAAAGGUAAUGGAUUAUUUACAUAGUAUUUUCGAUUUUAGAUCUCCCCAACAUGCCGUCUAGUCUGUAUCGCAACGCGUAUUUUUCUGGGCGCAGUGCUCAGAUUAUUGCAAAGUGUGAUUUCCCAGUAAGGUUAUUUUUAAAUCUGGCAAGUUGAUUGCGUUCAAGAGAUGUAAAUCUAUAAUUCUUUAAAUGACAAUAUAAUAUUUUACCAAUGUUUUCUAAUUUUAAUUAUUUAAUUUGUGGUGUUGACUUGACUGCCGGUUAUUGGAGGGAAACGAUUUCCUCAACAUCAAUGCCAUAGUAAAACGCUGUUUUUGGAUAUAAAUAUGAACUUGAUAGAACUAAAAAUGCAUGCAUUGUCUAACAUAAUGUCCUAGGAGUGUCAUCUGAUGGAGAUUGUAAAAGGUUAGUGCAUCAUUUUAGCUGGUUUUAUGGUUUUGGUGACCCUGUCUUUGAAUUGACAAAACAUUACACACAACUCUUGUAAAUGUACUGUCCUAACAUACUCUAAAUUUAUGCUUUCGCCGUAAAACCUUUUUGAAAUCGUAAAACGUGGUUAGAUUAAGGAGAUGUUUAUCUUUCAAAGGGUGUAAAAUAGUUGUAUGUUUGAAAAAUUUGAAUUUUGACAUUUAUUUGGAUUCAAAUUUGCCGCUCUUGAAAUGCACCUGCUGUUGAUGGAGUGCACCACGGGGGGGACGCUAGCGUCCCACCUAGCCCAUAGAGGUUAAAUGCCUUUUUUUUAAUACCAGACGCCAAGUACAUAGAGUCAAUAGUUACUUUGACAUUGACGCACAAGUAAAAUAUUGAAAACUAUUGAAAACUCCUGAAAAGAUAAGAGAGGAGAUUGAAAACUAUUGAAAACUGUUGAAAAGACAGAGAGGAGAUUGAAAACUAUUGAAAACUGUUGAAAAGACAACAGAGGAGAUUGAAAACUAUUGAAAACUCCUGAAAAGACAAGAGAGAAGAUUGAAAACUAUUGAAAACUGUUGAAAAGACAAGAGAGGAGAUUGAAAACUAUUGAAAACUCCUGAAAAGACAGAGAGGAGAUUGAAAACUAUUGAAAACUCUCUGGAAGUCAUUUUAGUCUAUGCAAAACAGUGUUUGGGAUUCCAUACUAGAUGUGCGCCUCAAAUGGCACCACAUUCCCUACGUAGUGCACUACUUUUGACCAGGGUCAAUAGGGUAGUAGUGCACUACUUUUUGACCAGGGUGCAUACAGCUCAGCUCAAACGCAGUGCACUACAUAGGGAAUAGGGUACCGUUAGGAACGAAGCCUAGGAAUGUUCAUGCUUUUUAUAGCCUGCAACACUAGAUAGUGAGGACUGAGGUUUUGCACUUUGAAUCUCUCUGCAGGGUUUUUUUAAAUGCAGAGGGGUAAGUAACUAUGCCACUAAUACCAAGGGAUGCUUCCUGCCCAUCUGCCUAUAAACAGCACUGCCAAUCAUUAUGAAAUGAUGAGUCCACAGAGUUAAUUCACUGUGUUCCAGACGGUACUUUCAGAAUUGGAUCGACUUCCUUAUCUAAUUCGCUGUGUUCCAGACGGUACUUUCAGAAUUGGAUCGACUUCCUUAUCUAAUUCGCGGUGUUCCAGACAGUACUUUCAGAAUUGGAUCCACUUCCUUAUCUUAUUCACUGUGUUCCAGACAGUACUUUCAGAAAUCGCUUCACUGGAAGCAUAUUCCACCCACUGUGGAAGCAUAUUCCACCCACUAUGGAAGCAUAUUCCACCCACUGUGGAAGCAUAUUCCACCCACUAUGGAAGCAUAUUCCCAUUCUCACAAACAUAACAGCAUGAAAUCCUUGUUUUGUCCUCUGUGUGAAUAACUAGCUAUAUUGUUACAGAUGUUACAGAUCAUGCAUGUGUCUUAAAGGCCUUACACAGAGUCACACACAGAGACCAAUAUCAGGCUAAAGAUAUGGCUCUGGUUCUACAAAUGCUGUCCAUUUCUGGUCUCACAGACAGUCACUGUGUGUCCCUAGUCCCUCUUCCUCUACAGACAGUCACUGUGUGUCCCUCCUCCGCUACAGACAGUCACUGUGUGACCCUCCUCCUCUACAGACAGUCACUGUGUGUCCCUAGUCCCUCCUCCUCUACAGACAGUCACUGUGUGUCCCUCCUCCUCUACAGACAGUCACUGUGUGUCCCUCUUCCUCUACAGACAGUCACUGUAUGUCCCUAGUCCCUCCUCUACAGUCUCUGUGUGUCCCUCCUCCUAUACAGACAGUCACUGUGUGUCCCUCCUCCUCUACAGACAGUCACUGUGUGUCCCUAGUCCCUCCUCUACAGUCUCUGUGUGUCCCUAGUCCCUCCUCCUCUACAGACAGUCACUGUGUGUCCCUCCUCCUCUACAGACAGUCUCUGUGUGUCCCUCCUCCUCUACAGACAGUCUCUGUGUGUCCCCAGUCCUCUACAGACAGUCUCUGUGUGUCCCUAGUCCCUCCUCUACUUUCCUCUGCAUGCUGUGGAGUUCACCAGGACUUCUCCAUGAACGGUGUGGGUCUGCUUCUUCACACACACUGGGUGUGUUCCAGGUGGUCUGUUUUGCAGUCAUGAUGCACAUCUCAGAAGAUUACAAUACGUCAUAUUUAUGAGCUGCCUGAGAUGUUAAAAAAACCUCUCGGGAACACACCCACACCCUCAAUGAUAAUACUGUAAACAUGUCUGUGUGUUUUUUGCAGUUUCCUUCAUCAAUGCUAAUACUGUAAACAUUUCUGUGUGUUUUCUGCAGUUUCCUUCCUAAUACUGUAAACAUGUCUGUGUGUUUUCUGCAGUUUCCUUCCUAAUACUGUAAACAUGUCUGUGUGUUUUUCUGCAGUUUACCUUCCUAAUACUGUAAACAUGUCUGUGUGUUUUUUGCAGUUUCCUUCCUAAUACUGUAAACAUGUCUGUGUGUUUUUCUGCAGUUUCCUUCCUCAAUGAUAAUACUGUAAACAUGUCUGUGUGUUUUUCUGCAGUUUCCUUCCUAAUACUGUAAACAUGUCUGUGUGUUUUCUGCAGUUUCCUUCCUAAUACUGUAAACAUGUCUGUGUGUUUUUCUACCACAGUGAGGCGCAUUGUUAGCUCAACACAACAGUGUAAAUAUUGUGUAAAGUAAAAGUGUCAGGGAUUCAUGGUAAACAUCGCAUUCCUCCGACGUCUUGUGAUACAUGCUAUACACACGUACUGUAACUAUGGUGUAAUUUUUGGUGAACUUUUCUGUUUUGUAAAAUAAUAUAAAAUGUAUGAGGAUAACAAUAAUAGCUUAUUAAAUAUAAUUGUG
rnacentral:lncRNA from 1 species